rnacentral:lncRNA from 1 species
ACAAACAUACGUAAAUAUAUAGUCCGACUCACAAGCAUACACAACAGGUAGUUUUACAGAUACAGACACACACACAUACACACACUUAUUCGAAUUAGCUAGGACCCACUGUAACAAAUUUUGCCUUGCCACCUUUUCUUUCCCAUGACAUUAUGUUUUUUGGUAGGUUUCUUUCCACAACACUGAUUUUCCUACUAAAGUCAGAAAACAAAUGCAUCUCUUCGUAGUUAUUGUGAGCUUCAACAUCAUCCACUCCAUCAACUCUGAUAAGAUGCUGUUUCCCGGGGACAACCACAUGCAUUAUCUUCUUCCUCGGGGGGCGGAUACUUAGCGGGUCUGGC